AUGGACAGAAAGUGGUUGGUUUACUCUAAAGAGUUGGACAAAGUUUUUUGUUUUGCCUGCAAGUUGUUCAAAUCAAACCAGAGCAGGUCUUUGCUAGCGUCUGAUGGGUUAAGGGACUGGAAGCAUCUCAGUGGAAGACUCCAAGAACAUGAGAGCAGUGUUGAGCAUUUAACAAACAUGAACACAUGGAAUGAUCUAAGGUUGAGGUUAAGCAAAAAUCAAACAAUUGAUGAUGACAUGCAGCGGGAGAUUGCAAAGGAAAAGGAGCGGUGGAGACAAGUUUUCCUAAGAAUAAUUUCUGCAGUGAAGUUUCUUGCAAAACGUAAUUUGGCAUUUCGAGGAACAAAGGGGAAGUUGUAUGAAGAUAAUAAUGGUAAUUUUUUGGGCACGGUUGAAAUGAUUGCUGAAUUCGAUCAUGUGAUGCAAGAACAUAUUAGGCGCAUUCAAAGUAAUGAAAUACAUCAUCAUUAUCUUGGCCACACUAUUCAGAAUGAGUUGAUUUCUCUCCUUGCUGACGCCGUGAAAAAGGUUAUCUUACGCACCAUCAAGGAUGCCAAGUAUUUCUCUGUUAUAUUGGACUGUACCCUGGAUGUGAGCCAUGAAGAGCAAAUGACGCUAAUUGUGCGUUGUGUCAAUGUCUCACGGCAAGGUUAUGACAAUGGCUCCAACAUGAAGGGAAAAAAUCAAGAUAAUGUUCCAAAUCUGACUCUCAAACCUUUAUCUAAUACUCGUUGGGAGAGUAGAAUAAAGAGUGUGCAACCUAUAAGGUACCAAACUCGGCAAGUAAGAUCAGCUUUGAAGGAACUAGAGAAGUCUUCUACUGAUGAUCCAGCUGCAGUAAGUCAUGCUCAAUCUUUGUUCAGUGCACUUGGGAAAUUUGAGACUUUGGUUGGUAUGGUUAUUUGGCAUGAUAUUUUAUUUUCUGUCAAUAUGGUGAGCAAAAAGUUACAGGAAAAAAUUGUGUGCAUCGAUGCUACUCUCAAACACAUUGAAGGGGUCAUUUCAUAUUUUGAGAAGUAUAGAGAUGAAGGCUUCUAUUCUAGUAUUGAGAGUGCCAAACUCAUUGCAGCGAAUAUG
rnacentral:rRNA from 1 species